rnacentral:rRNA from 1 species
UACGGAGGGGGCUAGCGUUGUUCGGAAUUACUGGGCGUAAAGCGCACGUAGGCGGCUUUGUAAGUUAGAGGUGAAAGCCCAGGGCUUAACCCUGGAAUUGCCUUUAAGACUGCAUCGCUAGAAUUGUGGAGAGGUAAGUGGAAUUCCGAGUGUAGAGGUAAAAUUCGUAGAUAUUCGGAAGAACACCAGUGGCGAAGGCGACUUACUGGACACAUAUUGACGCUGAGGUGCGAAAGCGUGGGGAGCAAACAGG